ACUGUAUUACAUGGUAUCUAUGGCAUCCCUGAAGGUAUGGCUUGCCAUCUUGCGCGAUAAAACGUGUAACUCUCAGAUGAGGCUUAGCCAUCAGUGAUUUCGGGUGAAAAGUUGGUUUUGCAGUGUACCGCAUGUAAGAUUUGGUUGGAGAUCUUACAUGGUACGGCUGAUAGAUAAAAUGGAUGAGUAACGGUAAAGUUAAUCAUCACCAAAAUCAAACUGUCAAUUAUGAUGAAUUUCACAAUAUCGUCCGCAUGUGCCAUUCUGAGCUGGCAGUUACAGAUGGCGAAAAAGCUGAACACCCGAGCGAUUGCUCGAUUUGAAUGAGAAUAUUUCUACCGCCAGGAUGGAACUGAUGACAGUACGGAUCAUGACAUUAAAUACUCAACAUAAGCUUGGUGACGGGCCCGGCGCUUAUUAUUGGUAGAUCCUAAAAUGUAUGAUGAUUGCUGGCAUGGCGAGGUUUGUUGGCCAACCACUACGAAUCUCGCCAGGAUAGUGAAUGAAGUAAGGCAUUUAAAAAAAAAGAACAAAAUAAUCAGUUUGAGAUAAUUUCAUUUUAAUUUAAAAUGUAACGGAUUUAAAAUACUAUCACUAGAAUAAUGUUGGAUUGUGGAUUUUUAAAUCGUAUUAGGAUACCAAAAACAUUCAACUAUUUUGUAACUCUAAUAUUAAAAUAGACCUUCUUAUUGCUACGGAUUGUUGAGAAAUGUGGAACUAAGAUAAUCAAUGUGCAAACCAAUCAAUAUAUGACCAACAACCCAAAUGAUUUUUUUCCACGCGAAUAAUGCCGAAGAAUAGCAAGAUGAGCGCAAUACAGAAUAAUAGGCACGCGAUGGAGCAACAUCAAUCACCUGAGAAUUUUCAUGUUUUACGAUCACGUGUAUCCCAAAUCUAAUUAAAUAACUUCAUUAGAUGAUUUGAAGUAGCGUGAUUGAUGACAACUAGCAUUAGUAGCAUUCAUCAGGGUUAAGGGGUUAGAAUAUGGGACAGGCAUUUUGGUAGAUCGUAGGAUGAUGAAAAAUUACACUUGGUAUUAGUUUUAGAAAGUUUUCGAUGGAAAUUAAAAUGGUAUUAUUAUGAUGUUAAGAUGUUUUGCAACCCCCUCGGAAUAAAUACUCAUUGUUGUUUA